UCUCUAGUGGCUUAGAUGGUAAAGAAUCUGCCUGCAAUGCAGGAGACCCAGGUUCUGUAUCUGGGUGGAGAA
rnacentral:tRNA from 1 species